rnacentral:rRNA from 1 species
UACGUAGGUGGCAAGCGUUACUCGGAAUUACUAGGCGUAAAGCGCAGGUAGGUGGUGCGAUAAGUCCGUAAUGAAAUCUCCCGGCUUAACUGGGAGGGGUUUAGGGAUACUGUCGUGCUUGAGUGUGGGAGAGGUAACUGGAAUUCCUGGUGUAGCGGUGAAAUGUGUAGAUAUCGUAAGGAAGACCAGUGGCGAAGGCGGGUCUCUGGACAGUUCCUGACGCUGAGGCACGAAGGCCAGGGGAGCAAACGGG